CUUAGUCGUCAUCCGCUCGCUUUACUUUCGUACAUAUUUCAAGGUGGUUGAAAUAGAUUAUGUAUAAAAGUGUGUUUUUCGUAACAUAUCAGACAUUUAACAUUUAACUUUCAUCGAACUCGUACGUUUUGUGUUUAAACGCCUUGAUUUGAUAAAACAUGAGCGGUUACCGGGGACAAAGUUUCCCUAGUUCUAUGUCAGGGAACUCUGAAAGAGAUACUCUACGGUAUGGAGAAAGUAAAAAUUUUGAAGUAAAUACCUAUGCCAACAAGAUAACUGGCAGUCGAGGCUUCGAGGCUAGAUAUUGCACUGGUGACAGACAUCAGGUCUGUGCAGGCGCCGCCUACAACUAUUCUACAGAUGGGACCAGUGAUGUUAGUGCUUCUGUUGGAUAUACAUAUUAUUCAAAUAAAGAAAAAUGAACGAGAUAUAACAAUGGUUCGAAGACAUAUUACAUAUAAGAUUUACUUUCUACGUUAUGUAACUUUUGCUUCAAAUAUUUCAUAACAGUAAUCUUCUCUUCAAAGAGUGUUACACGUUGUUCAAAAUUGCUUGUUUCGUUUCGUCAGCAAGGAUUAAGUACACGUAGGAUCAAUC